AUCUUUUAUAACGGCAUCAGACCACACUGAGUGCCUUCUAAUUACAGUCUGUGAGUCUUUCUUUAGUCAGCCAUUUCUAGUGCAGUUUGAGGACCUGUGAAUUUUUAUAUAAGCCUAGGAAUCAUCGGUAUUAGGGCUUUAAAUGUGACCUAUUUUGAAUCAAAUGGAAUCUGUUUUCCUCUGCAAUUGAAGGGAGUGAGCAAGCCAGUCAUUUCUUCUUCUGUGAGACACAAGAGGAAAUAAUUAAAGAGUUUUUUAUGGAGCAGUGUGAAAAUUUGGUUUUUUACUUUAGAAAACUGAUUUUAUGGAGUAUUUCUCAGGUUCUGAGCUUCCACUGACUGUGGUUUUCCAUUUAAAGGAACAAAAAAGCACUAGUACCUAAAAUUUGCUGUAAAAGACAUUUCACCUGCUUUGGUAUUACCUCACUGCCAUCUGACUGUAUCCCUGCCUUUCCUGAUUUCUGUGGCUAUAGUAGAAGUCUUGUGGAGUUUGUGGAGUUUUUGAAGUUUGUGUAGUUUUGAAGUUUUGAGAACAGACCUGUUUGUAGUUAUGAUCCAGUGGCAUAAGCUGACCUCAGGAUAUACCAGCUUGCUUUAUUAGUGACUUAAUUUUCUUACUGUAGUAAAUUGGGUGUGAUUUUAACUUGUUCAUUCUUUGUAUAUGUAUACUUUAAGUAUACAUAUUUUGUAUAUGUAUAUUUUAACUUGUAAGUGAUCAGACAUCUCUAUCAUCAUCUCUGAAUUAAAAUUAAAAUUGUUUAACUCCUGAAAAAUUCAACUGAUGUUAUGCAACUUGGAACAUAAGACCGGACAAAUUACUGAAUCUGACAUUUCAAAUAUUUCCUAAUGUGCUUUUAACUUUUGCUGGGCACAAAUGGAAUUUCUCAGCCUCUGUCAUAAAAAAAGAGUUUGUUAUUGUUUGAUAAAGUUCAUGUUAUUGAACACUGACAGUCAUCUCAUCCCAUUCCUAUCAUUUUCUUCAUCAUCAUCAUCAUCUGUCUUAUAGUAUGAAAUUAUACCUUGGGUCAUAAAUUACUCCUUUCAUUCUUUUUAAACCAAAAGCUUUUUAACUUUAAGUUGUUAUAUUGCAACCAAAUGGGACAUAACAACAAUAUACUCCUUGAAAAAAUGUUUUUUCUGAAUAGAAAGGAAUAUGUGCUUCUGUUGGGAAACGUAGAAUAUCACACCAAAAAAUGUUAAUACCUGUACUCUACCACUGUAUAUGUAACUAUUGACAUGUAUUCUUUCAGUUUCCUUCCUAUACAUUUAUAUAAUAAGAGAAUUGGGAUUAUAGUUCACACAUUCAUAACUUGAUUCACUUAAUGUGUCUUGAGUAUUUACUAUUAAAUAUUGAUGUACAUCUUUUUAGUUAUUAUUAGAAAAGCUAUAUGUAUUGAUGAUAAUUCCCCUGCCUUUUCAGCCUUCUUUUGUCAGCUACUGAUGAAACUUUUUUAUAUAAUAAUAAACAGUGCUGGGU
rnacentral:lncRNA from 1 species